rnacentral:rRNA from 1 species
UUACCGCGGCUGCUGGCACGGAGUUAGCCGGUGCUUAUUCAUUAGAUACCGUCAGCUGCCAUGGGUUAUUAACCCAGGCCAUUUCUUCUCUAAUAAAAGUGCUUUACAACCCGCAGGCCUUCUUCACACACGCGGCAUUGCUGGAUCAGGCUUUCGCCCAUUGUCCAAUAUUCCCCACUGCUGCCUCCCGUAGGAGUCCGGGCCGUGUCUCAGUCCCGGUGUGGCUGAUCAUCCUCUCAGACCAGCUACCGAUCGUCGCCUUGGUAGGCCUUUACCCCACCAACUAGCUAAUCGGACGUAGGCUCAUCUAGCAGUGUGAGCUUUCAAGAAGAGGCCCACUUUCCUCCGUAGAGCGUAUGCGGUAUUAAUCCGAGUUUCCCCGGGCUAUCCCCCGCUGCUAGGCAGAUUCCUACGUGUUACUCACCCGUCCGCCACUCGACAGCACCUGACGCACCCCGAAGGGAUUGUCCGGCCUGUUUCCGUUCGACUUGCAUGUGUUAGGCAUGCCGCCAGCGUUCAAUCUGAGCCAGGAUCAAACUC